rnacentral:misc_RNA from 1 species
CAACCCUCAAGCUCUGCUUGGUGUUGGGGACCCGCCGACCUCUCCGGAGAGGCGAUCCCCCAAAGACAGUGGCGGACCUACUGGUGUCUUUCCCCUUGCGUAGUAGGUAUCUCCUCGCACUGGGACCCGGUGGUGUUCUUGCCGUUAAACCCCCAAUUUUCUAU